rnacentral:rRNA from 1 species
CAAUAGCGCAUAUUAAAGUUGUUGCAGUUAAAAAGCUCGUAGUUGGAUUUCUGGGAGGGUGCCGCCGUCCGGCGUGUCCGUGUGCAGUGGCGCCCUUCCAUCCUUCUGUUAGCGUCUCUUGGCAUUCAUUUGCUGGUGGCGGGCUCAGAUAUUUUACCUUGAGAAAAUUUGAGUGUUUCAGGCAGGCUAGGCCGGAAUACAUUAGCAUGGAAUAAUGGAAUAGGACUACGGUCUCUUUGUUGGUUUGAGGGACUGCAGUAAUGAUUAAUAGGGAUAGUUGGGGGCAUUAGUAUUUAAUUGUCAGAGGUGGAAUUCUCAGAUUUGUUAAAGACUAACUUAUGCGAAAGCAUUUGCCAAGGAUGUUUUCAUUA